rnacentral:rRNA from 1 species
UCCUACGGGAGGCAGCAGUGAGGAAUAUUGCACAAUGGGGGAAACCCUGAUGCAGCAACGCCGCGUGAGGGACGAAGGCCUUCGGGUCGUAAACCUCUUUUCUGAGGGACGAGGAAGGACGGUACCUCAGGAAUAAGUCUCGGCUAACUACGUGCCAGCAGCCGCGGUAAAACGUAGGAGGCGAGCGUUAUCCGGAUUUACUGGGCGUAAAGCGCACGCAGGCGGCUUGGCAAGUUGGACGUGAAAGCUCCUGGCUUAACUGGGAGAGGCCGUUCAAAACUACCGGGCUUGAGGUUGGGAGAGGGGUGUGGAAUUCCCGGUGUAGUGGUGGAAUGCGUAGAUAUCGGGAGGAACACCAGUGGCGAAGGCGGCACCCUGGCCCACACCUGACGCUGAGGUGCGAAAGCGUGGGGAGUAAACAGGAUUAGAUACCCCGGUAGC